ACAUGACCUCGUUAGGUGAGGCUCCUAUACAAACAUAGGCCACUGCCCGGAAAUAUCGAAAGAUGCCAAUGGGUAGAACAGGAACUGCCGGAUUAAGGCUUUUCUUAACGUGGCUAAGAGCAAGUGCGUUCUUUACGUUGUAUAGUGCCAAAACUCGACCAGGGGGUUAGCG
rnacentral:sRNA from 2 species